rnacentral:rRNA from 1 species
UACAGAGGUCUCAAGCGUUGUUCGGAUUCAUUGGGCGUAAAGGGUGCGUAGGCGGCGCGGUAAGUCGGGUGUGAAAUCUCGGAGCUUAACUCCGAAACUGCAUUCGAUACUGCCGUGCUUGAGGACUGGAGAGGAGACUGGAAUUUACGGUGUAGCGGUGAAAUGCGUAGAUAUCGUAAGGAAGACCAGUGGCGAAGGGCGGGGUCUCUGGACAGUUCCUGACGUGAGGCACGAAGGCCAGGGGGAGCAAACGGG